GACGAUUUUCCGCCUAUUGGCGAAUUGAUCUAAAGGUUUAUUGGCCCUGAAGAUGGCUCAGUGCUGAGCCGAAACGUUGGCUAUUUGAAAAACUAGUUUUUUUCAUUUGAAUUGGCAUAAACCCUCAGCAAUACAACAAUUUUUCACAAUUUAAUACUACGUGCCAGCAAUACAAC